rnacentral:rRNA from 1 species
GGGUCAGUAGGUUGGUCGUGCCACCGGUACGUACUGGUCUCACUGAUUCCUCCUUCCUGAAGAACCGUAAUGCCAUUAAUUUGGUGUUGCAGGGAAACAGGACUGUUACUUUGAAAAAAUUAGAGUGUUUAAAGCAAGCUAACGCUUGAAUACAUUAGCAUGGAAUAAUGAAAUAGGACGAUCGAUCCUAUUUUGUUGAUUUCUAGGAUUGACGUA